AGGGGAAAGGCUGGGGAACGAAGUCAUCCCUUGUUGGUCAUGGAGAAGCAUUUAUGCAGGUGAAUAUUUGGAGAACCACCGGCUCCAGUGGCUGCAUGCUCACCAUUAACAUGAAGCAGUUGCUGCUGUGGAUGAGGAGAAAGAUGGCUUGGCUCCUGCUUUGCCGAGAGCUGCUGCAUUAAGUCUCCAGCAGGCGGUUUCACGGUCUGCAGGGUCAACGGAUGAUGCCCCAGCGAGCUCAGAGGAGGCCCUUUCUUAGGGUGAGUCCCCACAAGGCUUGACAUAAGGAUGGGGUGUAAGAUUUGACAGCCUGGCUGGUGUCUGCAAGGCCUCAUGACUUUAAAAGGAUUUGUGACAAGCCAUGAGCCUUGAGAAAAUAAACCAUGAUGAAUUCCCAUCCAUACAGACAGUUCUGAAGGUAUGUGUUCCCUCCUCCCUGCUCCCUGCAAAACCACAGUCUUGGCCAGAACUGGAAGAGGAGCCAUUCAUUCAAGCCCGAUUUCCCAAAUCGUAUUGCAGAACAUGGACUCAAUCACUCUUAAAUGAGCUCCGUGGGGAUUCCGUUUCCCCUCGUGUGCCAGGUCCAGGAGAGAAGUCAUUGCUGCUCGGUGAGUGGGAGCACUUAGAGGUCCUGCUUCCUCGUCUGCCACUCCCCGCAGGACAUGACUUUGCUCCUCUGAAGGCACACCAAGAGGCUUUUUACCACCAACCUAUUGAUACCACAUGGCGGAUGAGAGCACCUCCUACUCUCCCUCCCCUCUUUGCUCCAGACCGAAAAGCACUGGGUUGUCUCAGCUUGGCAGAAGAAGAAAUGCAAAGGGGGGAAGCCAAGUUAUCAGUUCGGUUCCAGAGCCCUCCCUGUUCCUCCUGAAGUGUGGGUCCCCUGUUCCAACAAGGGCAUGUGUGCAUACGUGUUUCCUACGAAGCGUUCCCAUGGCAGAGCUCUCACAGCGCUCUAUUUAUUUUGCUGGGUUCUCGCUCAGGUCAGCCACGAUACUCUGAAGCGUGGUGGUUUGGACUUGGAGAUGGCUCAUGUGGUCUCCAUUACUGGAGAUCACCACUUAAAAGCCAGCCUUGCCAAGACAGACCAGAGCCUCUCAUUAUCUGUCAGCUUUGCCCAAAUUUGGAUGAACUUGUAGCUUUCAGGGAGAAGGAUCUUCCUGGUCAGCAUAGAUAAUGUGGAAGUGCCUGUAGGAUAGAGGAUGGAAAAGGAAAUAGUUCCUUAUUCCUCCUGUUGUGAAACAGGUCUAUACUUUGCUGGAGAGUUUUGCUUAUGUAGAUUAUCCACCCACAAAUCCUUGUUUUACUUGGGAAGUGGUCAUAAAUAAAGGGAAUUUGUGUUUGUGGUGGCUGGUGGUGUCUCAGAGGGGCUUAUAGGGGAGAGAUUGUUUCAUGAUGUAUUAAGUAGAUUUACAAAAUCUGUUUUUCUUCACUAAGGACUCUGUUGUGAGAAGCACUGAUGAUCCAGAGCUCUGCUUUGGGGGAAGUUUUGUCUGUGAUAUACAGAUGAGAGCUCUGCUGGAAGACAGUUGCAAAGAACUUUCUGGGAUAAAUGUGUUGAAUUUGCCAAUGAAACCCAAAUGCUGAGCUGGUUUGAUCUGAAAUCCUUUCAGAUAAAAUCUGGUAGGCUUCUAUCUGGGGACUGGAAACCAGCUGGCAAAGUGACACUUAGGCUGCCACUGUUUGUUGACCUUAUGGUU